rnacentral:rRNA from 1 species
GACGAACGCUGGCGGCGUGCUUAACACAUGCAAGUCGAACGGAAAGGCCCUUCGGGGUACUCGAGUGGCGAACGGGUGAGUAACACGUGGGUGAUCUGCCCUGCACUUUGGGAUAAGCCUGGGAAACUGGGUCUAAUACCGAAUAGGACCACGCGCUUCAUGGUGUGUGGUGGAAAGCUUUUGCGGUGUGGGAUGGGCCCGCGGCCUAUCAGCUUGUUGGUGGGGUAAUGGCCUACCAAGGCGACGACGGGUAGCCGGCCUGAGAGGGUGACCGGCCACACUGGGACUGAGAUACGGCCCAGAAUCCUACGGGAGGCAGCAGUGGGGAAUAUUGCACAAUGGGCGCAAGCCUGAUGCAGCGACGCCGCGUGAGGGAUGACGGCCUUCGGGUUGUAAACCUCUUUCAAUAGGGACGAAGCGCAAGUGACGGUACCUAUAGAAGAAGCACCGGCCAACUACGUG